rnacentral:rRNA from 1 species
AUGAACGCUGGCGGCGUGCCUAAUACAUGCAAGUCGAGCGAACAGACGAGGAGCUUGCUCCUCUGACGUUAGCGGCGGACGGGUGAGUAACACGUGGAUAACCUACCUAUAAGACUGGGAUAACUUCGGGAAACCGGAGCUAAUACCGGAUAAUAUAUUGAACCGCAUGGUUCAAUAGUGAAAGACGGUUUUGCUGUCACUUAUAGAUGGAUCCGCGCCGCAUUAGCUAGUUGGUAAGGUAACGGCUUACCAAGGCAACGAUGCGUAGCCGACCUGAGAGGGUGAUCCGCCACACUGGAACCGAGAAACGGUCCAGACUCCUACGGGAGGCAGCAGGAGGGAAUCUUCCGCAAUGGGCGAAAGCCUGACGGAGCAACGCCGCGUGAGUGAUGAAGGUCUUCGGAUCGUAAAACUCUGUUAUUAGGGAAGAACAAAUGUGUAAGUAACUAUGCACGUCUUGACGGUACCUAAUCAGAAAGCCACGGCUAACUACGUG